AUCACUUCUUGGCCUUUUGGCUAAGAUGAAAUAUACUAUUUUUACCAGUUUAAUGUCUCACACAUCUUCUACUGAGGAGAUUAUAUUAAAUGGAAUUUUGGAGCUGGGAGAUGGAAUAGGAGCUUGCCUCAUCCACUCCACACAUCAACCUAAUAUUCCAGUACCUCCAGGAAUGGUGCACCACCC
ensembl:snRNA U2 U2 spliceosomal RNA